AUACGUAGGUGGCAAGCGUUGUCCGGAAUUAUUGGGCGUAAAGCGCAUGUAGGCGGUUUGGUAAGUCGGUCGUGAAAAUGCGGUGCUUAACGCCGUAUGGCGAUUGAAACUGAUGAACUUGAGUGCAGGAGAGGAAAGGGGAACUCCCAGUGUAGCGGUGAAAUGCGUAGAUAUUGGGAAGAACACCGGUGGCGAAGGCGCCUUUCUGGACUGUGUCUGACGCUCAGAUGCGAAAGCCAGGGUAGCGAACGGGAUUAGAUACCCCGGUAGUCCUGGCCGUAAACGAUGGGUACUAGGUGUGGGAGGUAUCGACUCCUUCCGUGCCGGAGUUAACGCAAUAAGUACCCCGCCUGGGGAGUACGGCCGCAAGGCUUAAACUUAAAGGAAUUGACGGGG
rnacentral:rRNA from 1 species